UACGGGGGGGCAAGCGUUGUUCGGAAUUACUGGGCGUAAAGGGCGCGUAGGCGGCCUUCUAAGUCGGACGUGAAAGCCCCCGGCUUAACCGGGGAGAGUCGUCGGGGACGGCCGGGCUUGAGGGCGGGAGAGGGUGGUGGAAUUCCCGGUGGUAGUGGUGAAAUGCGUAGAGAUCGGGAGGAACACCUGUGGCGAAGGCGGCCACCUGGGCCGACCCUGACGCUGAGG
rnacentral:rRNA from 1 species